rnacentral:rRNA from 1 species
AGAGUUUGAUCAUGGCUCAGAAUCAACGCUGGCGGCGUGCCUAACACAUGCAAGUCGCACGAGAAAGGGGCUUCGGUCCUGAGUAAAGUGGCGCACGGGUGAGUAACACGUGAAUGAUCUACCUCCGAGUGGGGAAUAACUGAGAGAAAUCUUAGCUAAUACCGCAUAACACUUACGAGUCAAAGCAGCAAUGCGCUUGGAGAGGAGUUCGCGGCCGAUUAGUUAGUUGGCGGGGUAAUGGCCCACCAAGACGAUGAUCGGUAUCCGGCCUGAGAGGGCGCACGGACGCACUGGAACUGAAACACGGUCCAGACUCCUACGGGAGGCAGCAGUGGGGAAUUUUGCGCAAUGGGGGAAACCCUGACGCAGCAACGCCGCGUGGAGGAUGAAGUAUCUUGGUACGUAAACUCCUUUCGAUGGGGAAGAUAAUGACGGUACCCAUAGAAGAAGCCCCGGCUAACUUCGUGCCAGCAGCCGCGGUAAUACGAGGGGGGCAAGCGUUGUUCGGAAUUAUUGGGCGUAAAGGGUGCGUAGGCGGUUUGAUAAGUCUGAUGUGAAAUCUCUGGGCUCAACCCAGAGUCUGCAUUAGAAACUGUCGGGCUUGAGUAUGGGAGAGGUGAGUGGAAUUUCCGGUGUAGCGGUGAAAUGCGUAGAUAUCGGAAGGAACACCUGUGGCGAAAGCGGCUCACUGGACCAUAACUGACGCUGAGGCACGAAAGCUAGGGGAGCAAACAGGAUUAGAUACCCUAGUAGUCC